rnacentral:rRNA from 1 species
UACGGAGGGUGCAAGCGUUGUCCGGAAUUAUUGGGCGUAAAGCGCACGUAGGCGGUUCUUUAAGUCGCCGGGUGAAAGGCUGGGGCUCAACCCCAAGCAAGCCGGGGAUACUGGAGGACUGGAGACAGGCAGAGGCCAGCGGAAUUCCGGGUGUAGCGGUGGAAUGCGUAGAGAUCCGGAAGAACACCGGAGGCGAAGGCGGCUGGCUGGGCCUGAUCUGACGCUGAGGUGCGAAAGCGUGGGGAGCGAACAGG